rnacentral:rRNA from 1 species
GAUGAACGCUAGCGGCAGGCCUAAUACAUGCAAGUCGGACGGGAUUGGAGAGCUUGCUUUCCAUGAGAGUGGCGCACGGGUGCGUAACACGUAUGCAACCUACCUUUACCAGGGGGAUAGCCUCUCGAAAGAGAGAUUAACACCGCAUAAAAUUAGUUUAUGGCAUCAUAAAUUGAUCAAAUAUUUAUAGGGUAAAGAUGGGCAUGCGGAACAUUAGCCAGUUGGUAAGGUAACGGCUUACCAAGGCGACGAUGUUUAGGGGAUCUGAGAGGAUGACCCCCAACAAUGGUAUAGAGACACGGACCAGACUCCUACGGGAGGCAGCAGUAAGGAAUAUUGGUAAAUGGGCGCAAGCCUGAACCAGCCAUGCCGCGUGCAGGAAGACGGCCCUACGGGUUGUAAACUGCUUUUGUACGGGAAUAAACCCUGAUACGUGUAUCAGGCUGAAUGUACCGUAAGAAUAAGGAUCGGCUAACUCCGUGCCAGCCGCCGCUGUAA